UUACGGCUAUAUCAUGUUGAAACACCGGUCCUCGUUCUAUCACCAAAGUUAAGCAACGUCGAGCCUGCUCCUUACCUAGAUGGGUGAUCGCUUGGGAAUACCAGGCGUUGAAAG